GACGUAGGGCGCGAGCGUUGUCCGGAUUUAUUGGGCGUAAAGAGCUCGUAGGCGGCCUGUUGCGUCCGCUGUGAAAGCCCGGGGCUUAACCCCCGGGUCGGCAGUGGAUACGGGCAGGCUAGAGGUAGGUAGGGGAGAAUGGAAUUCCCGGUGUAGCGGUGAAAUGCGCAGAUAUCGGGAGGAACACCGGUGGCGAAGGCGGUUCUCUGGGCCUUACCUGACGCUGAGGAGCGAAAGCGUGGGGAGCGAACAGG
rnacentral:rRNA from 1 species